rnacentral:lncRNA from 1 species
UGCAGCCCAUUGUACGAUGAGAUCAUCACAUUGUGCUUGGACCUUGGAGAACUUGAUGCAGCAAUUGCCAUAGUUGCAGAUAUGGAAACCACUGGGAUUACAGUCCCUGACCAAACCUUAGACAAGGUCAUAUCUGCUAGACAGUCGAAUGAGAAUCCCCGAUCUGAGCCUCAAGAGCCACCAUCAUCAUCAUCAGUAAGCUCUUAGUUUCUCGUAUCUUCUUCUUCUUCUUUUGCUUAAAGCUCUCAUCUAUAAGAAACAGAAAUCGGAAGAACCAGCCUGUCUUAGUUAUUAUGAAAGUUUUGUUCAUUCUCUGCAAAAACAAUCCAUAGGAAGCUCUAGUAAAAUUAUUCAUUAUAAUCAAUUUAUUGGAUUAGCUUUUAGACACGGCUGCUUUUGUGAUUCUUGGCGAUAUGUAAUUCGUACAGAGUUUCACCUGAAACAAACCAAAAUAAACAACUUAUGUUUCCAUGCCCUUUUCAAACAUGGAAUCCGGUUUAACUAUUGCAUUAACCCAGUACAUUAAAGUCACUUCUAAGUCCACACUGACAUAGCAUCAGCUAGAUCGAUCCAAAUGCUCUUGGUGAAUGUGGUUUCAUCUACAAACGGUUCAUCAGGACCCCGUUGCAUUCGUCCCAUAGCAUACUUGAUCAGAUUAUAUAAGUCACUUUAGAAACAACAAAAUAUCUUUAUUAAUCCAGGCAGUUUUAAAUCAUAAGAUGGGACACAGAAACAAAAUAGGGAUAAAUUUGAAAGAGAAGACGAGUAAAUGAAAGACAUUAAUAAGGCUUUAUGUAAAUGCUAAAGAUAGAUUUUAAAUAUCAUUUUCUCCUUUUGCCUCUUGGAGAAAGCUCGUUGACUGGGUUUUCAAGUGCCGCAAGUGUCAACAUCUUUUCAUCAUAUCGACGCUUUUCUAAGUUGCUCUGCCUUUUUCUUUUGACUGGCUGCUUGAUUUGCACUGGACUUGGAACAUAAGAGCACACAUGUGGCCACAUCCUAGAGAUUUUGUUGCCAAGAACCGAUUUUCUCAAGUAUUUAGCCUCUCCAACGAUGCUAAGUGUGUGGUGAUAAAAGUCCUCGUCAAAACCCAUGGCGACCUUCUUUUUUUCGUCAAUGAAGAAACCCCAAGGUGAAAUCGGAUAGAAAGGUUCCGUAUACAAUGUCAAGAACUUGCUCCACAACACAUUUUCGGACUCAAUCUUAGUCGUAAUCCAUAUUUCAAGCUCAUAUGGAUUUGAUUCGUUGUGGGUAAGUAAAACCGCAAGCUUCUCUUCUCUAACACAAGAUAAAGUCACAUAGUCAUCAUCCUCAGCGGUAAACGGAAAAGGAAGAAGAGGACCAAAUCUCUCACUUGCAAAAUCAAAACAGAUUAAGUGAAAUUCGUCUUCUGAGUUCUUUUUUAUAGCACAAAAGUAAGUGUUUCCCUUGAGGGAGAUGCCACGCUGAGAACACGUUACGAACCAGUGUGGAGGAACAUCAAGAGUUGUCCAUAGAUCAGAGUCAAAAUCAUACAUUUCAUACCACUUAAACCGUUCUCCGGGUGCAUAGAUGUUUUCAAUUUGAUCAUCCAAAAACCUCAAGAUUUUGUAGGAUUUCUUCUUCUUCUUCUUAUUCACGUAUCCGAGAGCGUAUCUAUACCUCUCCAUAUCCCUUCCGCCAUGUCCCUGGUGAAAAUAUCUUGGUUCGAUCCACCUUGUUUGACCCAAAUACGGAUUCCAAACCACAAGCCUAGAAUCAUCUUUCAAGAUGCAUAACAAUAGUCCCUCGCAGUAAAAGACUUGAGCUAUCUUAAUUUGUUCGUUUUCGUUUAAGCAACUGAGUUUGCUUUUAUUCUCAGUAGAUGGAUCUCCUUCGAGGAAUAAGCUCAUCAAAUGAAGAUUUUCAUUCAUCAUUAUGAUCAUCCGAGACUCCCCUUCCCUUGCUGCAGAAGCUUCUUUAUCAAUGCGCAUCUUUGUAAAGCUCCGGCUUUUUGAUAAAGUGUCCCACUCUCUGCAAGUUAAUCGCACUGCUCUCAUGGAUUUCAAUGGAAGUCUAUAGAAAAUCUCCUCUACCAAAUCUCUCGGAAGAUCCAAGAUCAUCGUCCUUGUUGUUUCAGUUUGCAACCAGGGGUUUUUUUUUUUUCUUUGAUUUCUUGCGGCGGGGGUAAGAGUAUUUAUGAUAGUUGAAGACACAUAAGCCCUAAACAAAAGUGGGCCAGUACUGGGCUUCAGAAUCUAGUCGGGCUUUUGUUGAUGGUCUAACAAUGGUCUCCCGCCUUUGAAACUUCGCGAGAAGGUUUACAGGCACGAUUAUGUAUCUGAAGCAGAACCAGUUGUUGCAAAAGAAUGAUGAAGAUGAAGCUUUCUGAUGAAAAUAAUUCUCAUAAUGCUCGUAACUGGACGUAAUCUUCCUUGUGUUCUUCUUCCAGAGCCAUUCCAAGAUAUUAUUAUCGAUCAGUGGAAUAUGGUUUUGAAGAAAUGUGUUCUCAAGACUGAAUCCGGGAGACGCCUCAAGUGUUUACUGUUGAGUGGUGAAUGGAGCAAUGUCGUUGAGGCUAACAGUUUGAGAGACGACGACAACAUCAGUCUCUGGUCUUUCAGCCGCAAUGGAAUCCUCUUCUUUGCCCUUGAUUUAAUUUGCAGGUGAUCCCAUAGAUUUCUUAGACUGAAAAAAGGGAGUGCUUUUGGGGACUAUUAGGGUUUAGGUACAAGUCGAGAUCUUGUAAUCUUGUUUGAGUUUCUCUUCCAUUACUGCUCACAGAUGAAAUGUUCGUUGAAAAAACAAAACUUUUAGUCCUUUGCUUUCUCCUUUAAUGGAGAUUGUCACCAUACUCCUCUGUUCAUAUGAAUUGUAUACUGAUGACAUUACUCUCGUUUGUUGCUUGAUUUACAAGAACAUAAAUGAAGUUUUCAGGUAACUCAUUUUUUUUUUUUUUGGGUUUAGGUCUACUUUGGUUACUGCAUUGGUAAUAUCUUAGAUUUCUUCUGAUACAUCAUCAAAAACUGCAUCUUUUUUAGCCUGCAAUUUAGAUGCCUAAGUUACUUUGUGUACAACCAUUUUCCUGAACAAAACAACAACAAGAGUAUCAAUACCAACACAUACAUCACUAUCAUUCCGAGUCCUUGGUUGAAACUACCUUUCCAUUGUUUUCAAUAUCAUUACAUACAGCUUCUGCUUCUUUUUCUAUCACAAAUUCACUGUUUUCUCGCCUGGAAAAACAUAAUCACUUUACACUUAUGCUCCAUUUAAACACAAACACAGACCUGAUUUCGUCUCUCGGCUCUUCUCUACGAGCCAAAUCUGAAGUUCAGAGAUUUUGAUACUCAUCUGAAAAAUCUCAUCUUGAAAUACUCUACUUUUUAUUUUGACGAAACUUAAAAUAUUCGUCGUUUUAGUUUGGCUAAAAACGGCAUAACAUGCAAUAUUGAUGUCGUUUACUAUAUAAAAUACUCGUUGUUUUUAUUGGUUUUAUUGGCUUUAACGGAAGAAAAGUCAGGGAGCGUGACGCCACGCGCAUGAAAACACAUAUUCAUACCCACUCGCACCUGGUGCGCGUUGCGCGCGUUAGGCCUAAUUCGUGGGUUAUAGUCCACCGAUUUUGCUCAUUUUUGGGCAAAAUUUAAAACUGAGCGAGUAGGUUGCGUUUUACUUGUUAUUUGAUUGUCGUUUUGUCAUUAUUUUGAGCAAAUUUCAGCAAUUAAGAGCAUGUCUCCUAUAUGUCACUGUCCGUCAAAUUAACUACUGUGAUACAUAAACAUUAUUAACAUCAUUUGAUAUUAUGUCACCCGCCCGUCAAAUUAACUCCAGUCAUACAAAAUCAUUAUUUAUGUCAUUCGAUGUUAUAUGCGUUUUGCUUCUUAUGGAUUGUCGUUUCAUUUUUCAGAGAAAUUGGAUCAUCGGCCGAGAUGCUUCUCUGGUUAGCCGGAGAAGAGAACGCCGGCUACUGUGAAUUGGGCGGUUAGCGGAGACACUGAAUUGCACCGAAUUACUCCGGCUCGCUUCGUCACCUUCUUCCUCCAUCCCUACAAAUAAGGAUAAGGUAAUCUCGAAAGCUUUCAAUUUUGUUGGUGUUUGGUGUCGUGAAAGAUGGAUUGAAACUGGCUCAAAGAUCGAAUUCAGCUCGAGAUGUUGAUGAUGUGAUGGGCAUUUUGACAUCAGAUUAUGGAAAUGGGUAUUUCGUUUUGACUUCAUCAAAUCUUUAGAUUCUGGAAACUGCUUGUUAUUCAAAUUCAUCUGAUUGCGUUUUCUGAAGGAUUAUAUAAUAACUAUCAAGUUAAUUUUGUUCCUUGAAUACGCGGAGGUUCACCAUAGCUAAACUCAUUAUUCAUUAUCACAUUGUGCUUGGACCUUGGAGAACUUGAUGCAGCAAUUGCCAUAGUUGCAGAUAUGGAAGCCACAGGGAUUACAGUCCCUGACCAAACCCUAGACAAGGUCAUAUCUGCUAGACAGUCGAAUGAGAAUCCCCGAUCUGAGCCUCAAGAGCCUCCAUCAUCAUCAUCAGUAAGCUCUUAGUUUCUCGUAUAUAUCUUCUUCUUCUUCUUUUGCUUACUGGGAAGCUCUCCUCUAUAAGAAACAGAAAUCAGAAGAAGCAGUAUGUCUUAGUUAUUAUGAAAGUUUUGUUCAUUCUCAGCAAAAACAAUCCAUAGAAAGCUUAAUUUUUCAGGUAAAAGUUUUCAUUAUAAUGAAUUUAUUGGAUUAGCUUUUAGACACAGCUGCUUUUGUGAUUCUUGGCGACAUGUAAUUCGUCUAGAGUUUUACCUGAAACAAACCAAAACAAACAAUUAUGUUUCCAUGCCCUUUUUCAAACAUGGAAUCCGGUUUAACAAAUCAAGCGUUUGUUUUUAAAA